UUUACAAAAUACAAGAGUUUACAAAGGUCCAAUUUCGAACAUUCUAAUCUAGGGCUAAUUGCGUUCUUUCAUAUUCAAAAAUAAAAUCAAUUAGCAAAUAAUUUACCAAACUCGAUGCUGAUGAAUCUCAAGUAAAGUUUAUCUAAAUUACAAUUCAAAAAGGUUCGAUGCGGAUUGUUCACAUUGAAAUUGCUUUCAGAUACACAUAUAAAAUGGUUAACGGCACUAUUUAACAUACUAAGCGUGACGAAUUGGAACGUGACUAAAAGUACAUGUGGCGCAGAUUUGCAUAAUGGUCUGUUACCGCAAAACUCAUGACAACGUUCCAUUCAGAGGCCAAUAUUUACGACCCUAUGAACGACAUGGACCUGAAAGAGUGAUAAAAGUUGUCUCCAAACCAUCAAAACACUUUCUUGAUGGCAAGAAGAAAAAGUGGUUUUGAAUUGUCAGUAGUGAAGCUGUAUUGCUUGACACGGCGUUAAAUUCGCUUGUAAAACUUUAUGACCUUAUAAAAUCUUUACUGUACAGAAAAAAAUAUUUUGCAUACUACAAUUCAUAAUA